UGGCAAACUGCAUUCACGGGAUGGAAGCACCUCUCUGUUAAGGAGGUUUGGGAUCAACAACAGUGUUCACUGGGAUUUCAGAUUGUAAUCUCAUCUCUCUGCGUUUUAAAGUUUUCAGAGACCUGCUCAUCCCUCUCAAAUAGCAAUGUUUCCUCCAUCAGAUACUGGCUUAAAUGCAGAGUCCAUGCUGCAGAGAUAGUGCCUGUGUCGAACUUCACAGAGUUUCUGGGGGGUUCUUCAUCUUUUCCCUGUAGUCCUGGAACUGCAGAAAUCAAUAUUCUGCCAUCUACGACCAGGGAACUUCUUUUGCUGUGACAUUGUAAUGAGAGGUGGAGACACCUCGAGGAGAAGGUCGAAACAGACAACAGCAAUUACAGUCAGUAAUAUCUGACUUGAGCAAAUCUUGCUUCACUUACUGGUCGGUGUAUGAUCUGUGGCAUGCCAGCUUUCCAGUGCACAGAAACCUCUGGAGGACUGUCCAGCCUUCAGAUCUGUUUUGAUGUGUUUUGAAUGCAUGAUGUGGAGCACAGCCACUCUCAGUAGGUUGGAGAAACAGGACAUCAAAUCAUAACAUGACUGUGGAGGGGCCCACUGCUGUUUCACCUCAGCACUUUACCCUACUCAGCAUCUCCAUUACAAGAAGCACUGUUCUGAGGCACUACUUUAUCUUCUUUCACUGUACUGGGACCUCAGUGCCAUGAUGAGGUUGCUUGUCUGUACUGGUUAGUAGCUGUGGUCAGACCAUCCCUAUG